GGAGUGCAGCUUCGGCUCGCGGUGUGUCUGGGCUCCGGGGCCCCGCGCUUGUGGUAGCGGCGGCGGCGGUGUCGGCGGCGGCAGCACCGUCACCACCACCAUGUUUCUUCAUUCAGUCAACCUCGGAAACCUGGCCUUUUAUGUCUUUAUGGUCUUCCUGGCCACCCUGGGGCUGUGGGAUGUCUUCUUCGGCUUCGAGGAGAACAAGUGCAGUAUGAGCUACAUGUUUGAGUACCCGGAAUACCAGAAAAUAGAACUUCCAAAGAAACUGGCAAAACGCUAUCCAGCAUAUGAGUUGUAUCUUUAUGGAGAAGGGUCCUAUGCUGAAGAACACAAAAUUCUCCCUUUGACAGGAAUUCCAGUUCUUUUUCUUCCUGGUAAUGCUGGAAGUUACAAACAAGUUCGUUCUAUUGGUUCUAUUGCACUUAGGAAAGCAGAAGACAUUGACUUCAAGUACCACUUUGACUUCUUUAGUGUGAACUUCAAUGAAGAACUGGUGGCAUUGUAUGGUGGAAGUCUUCAGAAACAGACCAAGUUUGUGCAUGAAUGCAUUAAGACAAUUCUAAAACUUUACAAGGGUCAAGAAUUUGCUCCAAAAGGUGUGGCAAUAAUUGGACAUUCUAUGGGUGGCCUUGUUGCAAGAGCAUUGCUUACACUGAAAAAUUUUAAACAAGAUCUCAUAAAUCUACUCAUUACACAAGCUACACCUCAUGUUGCUCCUGUGAUGCCAUUAGAUCGUUUUAUUACAGAUUUUUAUCUGACUGUGAACAAUUAUUGGAUUCUAAAUGCUCAGCACAUAAACUUGACAACUCUUUCUGUAGCUGGAGGAUUCCGGGAUUACCAAGUUCGUUCGGGACUGACUUUCCUACCAAAAUUAAGCCAUCAUACCAGUGCCUUAUCUGUUGUGAGUUCAGCAGUGCCUAAAACUUGGGUCUCAACAGAUCAUCUCUCCAUUGUGUGGUGUAAACAACUGCAAUUAACUACAGUUCGAGCAUUCUUUGACCUUAUCGAUGCUGAUACUAAACAAUUAACUCAAAAUUCCAAGAAGAAAUUGUCUGUUUUGAAUCACCACUUUAUAAGACACCCAGCAAAAAAUUUUGAGGAAAAUCCAGCAAUAAUUUCUGACUUGACAGGGACAUCUAUGUGGAUUCCAGUAAAAGUGUCCAGAUGGACCUACGUGGCUUACAAUGAAUCUGAUAAGAUAUACUUUACAUUUCCUCUUGCAAAUCAUAGAAAAAUCUACACUCAUGUCUACUGUCAGAGCACCAUGCUGGAUACAAAUAGUUGGAUUUUUGGCUGCAUAAACAGCACUUCCAUGUGCCAACAAGGGGUUGAUUUAUCAUGGAAAGCAGAACUGUUGCCAACAAUUAAGUUUCUGAUGUUAAGACUUCAAGAUUAUCCAUCUCUGUCUCAUCUUGUUGUUUAUGUGCCUUCUAUUCAUGGAAGUAAGUUUGUUGUAGAUUGUGAAUUCUUUAAAAAAGAAACAAGAUCCAUACAGCUUCCUGUAACUCAUCUUUUUUCCUUUGGAUUGUCUUCACGAAAAGUAAUAUUAAAUACAAAUGGCCUGUACUACAAUAUAGAGCUUCUGAACUUUGGACAGAUAUACCAAGCUUUUAAAAUCAAUGUGCUAAGCAGGUGCUCCGGAGUCAAAGAGGAAAUUACUAGUAUCUACAAACUUCAUAUUCCCUGGUCUUAUGAAGAUUCACUCACCAUUGCACAGGUUCCAUCCACCACGGAAAUUUCUGUGAAGCUUCAUAUUGCUCAACCAGAAAAUGACAGCCAUGUGGCAUUAUUAAAAAUGUAUACAUCAUCAGACUGUCAGUAUGAGGUGACAAUUAAGACUUCCUUUCCACAAAUACUUGGACAGGUAAUUAGAUUUCAUGGUGGAGCUCUUCCUGCUUAUGUUAUAUCUAGUAUUCUUCUUGCUUAUGGAGGACAGUUAUACUCUCUCUUCUCAACAGGUUAUUGCUUAGAAUAUGCUACCAUAUUGGACAAAGAAGCCAAACCAUAUAAAGUUGAUCCUUUUGUAAUUAUGAUUAAAUUUUUGUUGGGGUAUAAAUGGUUUAAGGAAUUAUGGGACACAUUAUUAUUACCAGAACUGGAUGCUAUUGUUUUAACUAGUCAGAGUAUGUGCUUUCCCCUUGUGUCUUUGAUUCUCUUUCUAUUUGGAACAUGUACUGCCUACUGGAGUGGGCUGUUCUCUUCUGCAUCUGUGAGACUCCUUUCUUCAUUAUGGCUAGCUUUGAAAAGACCCUCUGAACUUCCUAAAGAUAUCAAGGUGAUAUCACCAGACUUGCCCUUUGUGACAGUUGCUUUGAUUAUAGUUAGUUGGACAACAUGUGGAGCACUUGCCUUACUUCUUUCUUAUGUUUACUAUGUGUUUAAGGUUGUCCAUCUGCAAGCCAGCCUAACGACUUUACGAAAUAACCAGCCUGUGAAUCCCAAACACUCUAGAAGAAGUGAAAAAAAAUCCAGUCACCAAAAAGACUCUUCAGUACACCAUCGUUUAUCUACUAAUGAUGCUGAAGAUAGUCUUCGCAUGCACAGUACGGUGAUUAACUUGUUAACAUGGAUCGUGCUGUUGAGCCUGCCAUCUUUAAUUUAUUGGCUAAAGAACCUUAGGUAUUAUUUUAAACUUAGCCCUGAUCCAUGUAAACCUUUGGCAUUUGUCCUUAUUCCAACUACAGUGAUUCUUGGGAAUACUUACACAGUUUCAAUAAAGUCAAGUAAAUUGUUGAAGACUGCCUCCCAGUUCCCACUUCCUCUGGCUGUUGGGGUGAUUGCUUUUGGCUCAGCACACUUAUACAGGGUUCCAUGCUUUAUCUUCAUUCCUCUGUUACUGCAUGCACUAUGCAACUUUAUGUAAGGUUGAACUUAAGGAAUGACAAAGAUGAUUUAUGCCUUUAGGCCAGUGAAUCACAGAUCCACCAACAUGGACAGCAAGGUCCUUUGGAGAAGACGAGUCUAUUUUUACAAGUACUGAAAAUAGGAAAUUAGUUUUGUAAUGCUGCAGGAAAGUAGCUGAAGCAUGGGUUUGUUUUGUGCUAUACUAGUCAAUUUUGGAAAAAAAAAAAGGUAAAGGAAUAUGGUAGCCACUGUCUCUGAGGACUUGUGUGCAUAUCGAAUAGUCUACUUCAUCCACCAUGCCACUGAUUUCCUGGAGAGUUGGUGCACAGCAAUUUUGUUUGAUCUGAUUUUCUCCUGAAAAAUUGAUUGUUUCAUAUUUCCUAUUUCCCUGAAAAAAAAAGUCUUAAAAAUAUUGAUGGAAUUCAAAACUGUUUGGUUUCUCAAAAGUGAAAUAGCCAUGAGGAGCCUUUGGUCAGGUUUUGGCAGCCACGGUGAACAAAGUAGAUCUUCUUAUUCUAUGGAAAGAGACUUGAAUUAUAAGGAGGAAUCUUAUUAUUAAAAUAAGAU